UUAAUUGGCAUAUAUGAAAGACUUGCACUUAAUUAUAAUUCUUUAAUAAAUAUGAACUGAAGAAGAUAAAAGGAAGAAAACUACUGGUGAGAUGACGUACAAAUUCUCUGGUGUGUCCAGUCCAAUGGACAACAAGAUUGGUCAUAUUCCCGAUGAGAUGCUCUCGCUUUUAAAGUCCGGAUAAACUGCACCUAUCCAAGUUUUGUUUGGGUCUGGAUAUCUAUCAGCUAUCAAGUAGUUAAAGCAUCCCGCACAGUGUACUGCAAAGAGAGUCACCUAAAGUUCCAAAUGGAGAGAAGGCUUAGUGAUCUGAAUGGCACAGUCGAGCUGACAUCAAAUAUAAACCAGGUUGAUAGGUACCUGUUACAAUGCAACAUUUUUAUUAUCAGUGAUUUAUGCAUCUAAAUUUGAAGUUUCCUUGUAUUGCUGUGUGCUGCUGACCUCACUGCUAUUUUCUUGUGAUCAUCGAUAAGAACAUAUGAUUGACUAUCGAGAUAUGCCACAAAGAAGGUUAGAAUGAUAUCAAUGGCAAAGAAGCCAUUGACAAUGUUGUCAAAGAUACGUAGGGCUCCUUCCUUAUCAUCAAGAAAUGCAAAGUCAAAUGGUGAAAUCCAGGCUGAGUAAAUUACCAAAAUAACUAGAAACAUCUCCCAUGCCCUGAAGAAGAAAAGGAUAUCAGUGUUGUGAAGACACGCCUUACCAUGCAAAAGUGAUUAGAUCAAAGUUAUUGAUGGCUCACCUGUAACGUCUGUCAAAAGGACAGAUUGUGUAUUUUCUUGGUGUAGCCGACCGGUUAAAAUUGGCUCCUAGAGAUGGGAGGAGAUCACUGGAGAAGAAACCACUAUGGGUAUGUUUUCCUGUUUGACAGUCCUUGAAGCAAAAGCAUCUUAAAAAGUUAUUGGUGUUGGAAAACGACAUUUUGUAGUAAACUAGUUACAGAGAGAGGGUGGUGGCAUGAUGGUCAUGAAGGUUAAAACUUAAAAAAGAUAGCGAGGAGUUUAUAUACUACAGGUAUGGUGGCUGGUGAAAUCACAAGGUUUUCAUGGGGUAUUCCACUUUUCGUUAUUACGUGGGUGGCUUGUCAUGAAAAAAGGAAGAAGAUAAUUAAAAGUGGUGGACAAUAUGCAGUUGAGAAAAUGGUCCUAGGAUUGGUGUGGGGGUAUGUGAGAAUAGCACAUAAGAAAUGGGGUGAUUUCAUGUCAAAUUCUAUAUAUGGACCAGACAAGAGGCUGUAAGCGUUGUGAGAUAAAAGCUUCAUGGGCCAAUGGAAUCUGUCUUCUUGGUAGAAAUGACAUUCUUGGCUUCAAACAAAGAUGCCUCUCUAAUCUCACUCUCCAAAAGAUGCUAACAUGGUACCACUACCCGCGCAAUGCAUCGGUGACGGAUGGUGGUGAUGGUGGUGGCGGUGUCAAAUGGUGCAGAGGUA